UCUCCUCUUCAUUUGAUGGCAUAUUUGUUGAAUCCUUAUUACCAUUAUAAGGAUCCACAACUUCAUUUGGACGAAGUUGUAGGUGUUGGAGUUGUUGAUUUUUGUGAUAUUCUAUUCGUCAAUGAUUUUGACAUGCAAAAUAAGAUUUUAAGUGAAGAAUUGCCAAAAUAUAAGAAGAAGGAGGGGAUGUUUGGAAGAAACAUCGCAAUCAAAGCAUGUGAGGUGAAUGAUGACAACUUUAAUCCCGCAAAUUAGUGGUCAACUUUUGGUACCUCAACCCCUUUAUUGAGAAGAAUAGCCAUAAAGAUUCUUUCUUUAACAUCUAGUUCUUCGGGGUGUGAAAGAAAUUGGAGCACAUUUGAAGGGAUACAUACAAAGAAGAGAAAUAGACUUGAAUCAAAUCGUCUCAACAAUUUAGUUUUUGUCCAAUUUAAUGCUACUUUGAUGAACAAGAACAAACAAGAUAAAAAUAUUGAAAAGUUGGUUGGUAGUGAUGCAAGUUUAAUACAAGAUUGGAUUGUGGAAAAUCUUGAGAAUGAUGAGACUGAGCCGGGAUUGGAUUGCAACAAUAAUGCUAUGGAAGUGGAUGAAGCAUUACAACCCCGUAGAAGUGCUAGAUUGAGGGAUCUUGAUGAAGAUAACUUUGAAUCGGAAGGGGAAAGUGAGGAGGAAAUAAAUGAAGAGGAGUUUGAAGAUGAUGGGCAACGUGUUAUUGAGCAAUAUGGACAAGAUGAAGAAAUUGGCAAUGAUCCUAUUCAAUCAUGAUUCAUGAAUCACUUUGGAUUUCAAAACUUUAAAAUUUGGACUUGAAUGUUGAAUUUUUGUUGAAUGUUAAUUAUGUUGUAACUUGUAAGUUUAAACUUUAAACAUUGAUACUUGGAUGUUGUUUCA